AGAGUUUGAUCCUGGCUCAGGAUGAACGCUAGCUACAGGCUUAACACAUGCAAGUCGAGGGGCAGCAUGAUUGAAGCUUGCUUCAAUUGACGGCGACCGGCGCACGGGUGAGUAACGCGUAUCCAACCUUCCGUACACUCAGGGAUAGCCUUUCGAAAGAAAGAUUAAUACCUGAUGGUAUGAUGAGAUUGCAUGAUAGCAUCAUUAAAGAUUUAUCGGUGUACGAUGGGGAUGCGUUCCAGUUAGGUAGUAGGCGGGGUAAUGGCCCACCUAGCCGACGAUGGAUAGGGGUUCUGAGAGGAAGGUCCCCCANAUUGGAACUGAGACACGGUCCAAACUCCUACGGGAGGCA
rnacentral:rRNA from 1 species